UACAGAGGAUGCAAGCGUUAUCCGGAAUGAUUGGGCGUAAAGCGUCUGUAGGUGGCUUUUAAGUCCGCCGUCAAAUCCCAGGGCUUCAACUCUGGACAGGCGGUGGAAACUACCAAGCUGGAGUACGGUAGGGGUAGAGGGAAUUUCCGGUGGAGCGGUGAAAUGCGUAGAGAUCGGAAAGAACACCAACGGCGAAAGCACUCUGCUGGGCCGACACUGACACUGAGAGACGAAAGCUAGGGGAGCGAAUGGG
rnacentral:rRNA from 1 species